rnacentral:rRNA from 1 species
AGAGUUUGAUCAUGGCUCAGAACGAACGCUGGCGGCAGGGCUUAACACAUGCAAGUCGAACGCUCGUAGCAAUACGGGAGUGGCGGACGGGUGAGUAACGCGUGGGAACGUGCCCUGAGGUACGGAAUAACUGCGGGAAACUGCAGCUAAUACCGUAUGAGCCCCGCAAGGGGAAAGAUUUAUCGCCUUGGGAGCGGCCGCGUCGGAUUAGCUAGUUGGUGGGGUAACGGCCUACCAAGGCUUCGAUCCGUAGCUGGUCUGAGAGGACGAUCAGCCACACUGGGACUGAGACACGGCCCAGACUCCUACGGGAGGCAGCAGUGGGGAAUCUUGCGCAAUGGGGGCAACCCUGACGCAGCCAUGCCGCGUGAAUGAUGAAGGCCUUAGGGUUGUAAAGUUCUUUUGCCCGUGACGAUGAUGACGGUAACGGGAGAAUAAGCUCCGGCUAACUUCGUG